AUUGAACGCUGGCGGCAGGCCUAACACAUGCAAGUCGAGCGGAGCGGCGGACGGGUGAGUAAUGCCUAGGAAUCUGCCUGGUAGUGGGGGAUAACGUCCGGAAACGGGCGCUAAUACCGCAUACUAUCAGAUGAACCUCGGUCGGCUUAGCUAGUUGGUGGGGUAAAGGCCUACCAAGGCGACGAUCCGUAACGGGUCUGAGAGUAUGCUCAGUCACACUGGAACGUAGACACGGUCCAGACUCCGACGGUAGGCAGCAGUGGGGAAUAUUGGACAAUGGGCGAAAGCCUGAUCCAGCCAUGCCGCGUGUGUGAAGAAGUUCUUCGGAUUGUAAAGCACUUUAAGUUGGGAGGCGUUACCAACAGAAUAAGCACCGGCUAACUUCGUGCCAGCAGCCGCGGUAAUUC
rnacentral:rRNA from 1 species